rnacentral:misc_RNA from 1 species
AGAAUAGCUCUAUAUCAUACAUGAUGUAGCGAGAGAAACCUUGCCAUGUUUUGGCAUUUUGCUCUAAUGGGCUUCAUGAUGUGACAUUCAAAAUAUAGCCUUCCUCAGAAUUGAAAACAGAGAUCACUAUUUGCUUGUUGCGUCCAUUUUCUUUCUUUUCCGCACCAUCAUUCUCUCGGUUGUUGAUUUUCUUUAGGCGUAUGUAUGAUAUGCGAAGUAGGG